GUAUAUAUAGCAAUAUUUAUGUGAACGCUAUUCAACCGGACGCUGGUUUUUGUCGGAACACUGGCCGGGGAAGAUGUAGCCGAUACUCCCACGCUCCACACCAGAUCAUACCUUCCUCUCGAACCACACUCCUCACGACACGACGAUCCCGACUCCUUCCCUAGCAUGUAACCUUGCCUUAUGUUUUGUGCUAGUAGGUCUCAUGUUUGCCAUUUCUGGACGCGUACGACGCGAGUAUUGGUUUCGUUCGGGCUACGACCGGGAGAACGUCCCACCCCCCUCCAUUGAUGCCAUUAAAAAUGUUCAUCAUUUGCAAAACCAAAACAAUAAGUACCAUCGGCCUUCCGUAAACUGAACUAAAAGCACAAAAAACCUCUUCAAAAACCAAAGACCAAAACAAAAAAGAAAAUCAAAUCCAAAAUCUUUCCCAUCAAGAUUUGCGAGAAACAGGUCCUGGUGAAACUGAUUUUUAAAAGCAACGCAACAGGAAUAACAAGUUAAACAAAAAAAAGUACGCUAGCUUAGUACUUAUCGAUAGCAGUUAGUGGUGUCCUAAUAGUUGAAUUGAGGAUUUUGUUUGACCGUGCAGUUUGUUUUACUUUACAAUUGUAUGAUAUUGUCGAUUGAUUUGCGUCAUCUUCUUGUACUUUUAUUACAAUACAACAAUUUGUCCCUUUUCUCACACUUUACACAAGUCUUGGUUACGACUUGGCUUUAGUUUACAAUCACCCACUUUGUUUUGGUAAGCGUUAAAAGAGUUUUAUUUCAUUUUUCGCAUUCUUAUCAGACUUAUUAAAGUAACGGCGCGUAUGUUUACACAGCAUUUUUAUAUGUUAUGCUCAUAAGCUGACAUACUUAUCGAGCUGCGAGUUGUUUAGGAAGUUUAAACCAGUGAAAACAUACGGAAUAAAAUCAGCUGAAAUUUUAUAAAUGUAUACUUAAACCUUAUGCAAUGCUAACAAUGACCUCUAGCCAGCGAAUUAGUGUGCUGCCUUUGGUUUAGGUACCAUCAUAUAUAGCGAGCAUGAAUAUGCAUUAAGGCUACGACAAAUCCUCUUAUCUUGCUUCUGAUGGUUAAUUUUCAAUCUUACUGCACUUGUGCCAAGAGCAAAGUUAGCGUAGAAUGCUGAGAAAAAUCAAUAUUAGUGAGAUUAUACCGUUUUAAUUCGUUUUUGUUGUUAUUAGUUGUAACCUGUAAUCCUGUUUCUCGCGUUAUCUUGAAUUUAAUAUGGUUUGUGAUUGAUUAAUUGAGGUGUGCUUUUUCUAAGCUUUCAUCCCCUUGUGGCCUUGUAAGCAAUACCCGGAAUCGAUACGGAACGGAACACAUGAAAGGGUUUGGGUCCGUAAGCAGGGCGUCAUCUCAAAUGCAACUUCAUAGCAACAGGAGUUGGUGAAAUGAUUGUCCAGAAACCGCUUUUGCAAAGAGCUAAACCAUCCACCAAGGACUAUCGAACGAAUGGACAAACGGAUCGAAAGCACAAUCCCUGCUAAGAACCAGAAAACGAAUGAACAAGAAGAAAAGAAGAGAAAUCAAUCAAGAUUACGAUAAAUGUUGAAUCGAGAUAGUAUCCCUUUGAAACAAAUGAAGAAUUCUUUAAAGUAUGGUUUUGUUUAUCACCGCGUGCACUAUGAGUAAAAGCAUUGCUUAUGAUCUGUAAAACAAGCACUUAAUAUUGUUUUAUUUUCGCUAUUGAACAAUAAAGAACAAAUAUGUUAUUAACGAUA